UACGAAGGGGGCUAGCGUUGCUCGGAAUCACUGGGCGUAAAGCGCACGUAGGCGGAUUGCUAAGUCAGGGGUGAAAUCCUGGAGCUCAACUCCAGAACUGCCUUUGAUACUGGCGACCUUGAGUCCGGGAGAGGUGAGUGGAACUGCGAGUGUAGAGGUGAAAUUCGUAGAUAUUCGCAAGAACACCAGUGGCGAAGGCGGCUUUCUGGACUGUAACUGACGCUGAGGUAUGAAAGCGUGGGGAGCAAACAGG
rnacentral:rRNA from 1 species